UGGAAUUGGAACCCAGUUCUGAUCAGCUAAAUCUGCUUGCUUACGCUGAGUUGCUGCAGGGAGGAUUUUCUUCUGUCUCAUAAACACUAAGAAGCAAAAGUAAUAAAGGACUUCCAGGAAUAUGUUGAAUUAAAGUGGCAAGAGUGGGCAUCCUUGUCUUGUUCCUUAUCUUAGAAGACAUUCUUCCAGCUUUUCAUCAUUGAGUAUGAUAUCAGCUGUGGGCUUGUCAUAUACGGCCUUUAUAUUGUAUUGAGGGUAAAUCUGAUUCCUGUAACUCCAUCUUGGCUAGAAGUAGAUGGUUACAGCUUCACUCUUAACGUUAUAGCACCUGCAACCUUCUUCAAAGGAAUUCUCUUCAGUUACUAGAGCCACUUCUCAUGGAGAGCUGAAGAUGUCUGAAGUUUACAAAUCCUUGGAGUAGCCAGUAGCCAGCCACUGGUUCAGGAGUAUGAAAGUCUAAUUCCUUUGCCUCCAGGUGGGAUAAACUCUUUCUUUGUAAUUUAUGCUCUGGAGCUCCC
rnacentral:lncRNA from 1 species